rnacentral:lncRNA from 1 species
GGACCUGGGCCAGGGUGUUUUGCCAAUUUUGAUGGAUGAGGGGGGAUGGAAGCCAGGUUGAGAUCCACUGCAAAGCAAGCUCGGUGUUUUGGAAGAAGCUUAAAUAGUUUUCUCUGGCCUCGUGUGGAGCCGGGAGACACCCCUUGAGAGAUGAAGCUGCAGUUACUUAUGUUUUUUAUUUCAAGGGUGAGAGGUGCUUGGAUCCCGACAGACAGUCUCAGCCACACUUGGGAGGUUGGACUGUAUGCCGAAGGCGGUGGGAGGCUGUGGAAGAGAUGAGACGGGGUCUGCAUUUUAGAAAGUUUCCUAGUUGCCUGGUGGAGACUGGAUGGGAAGAGGCUGAGUCAGGAGCCUGGGGAGCCAGGAGCCUGGGAGGCCAGGGCUGCAGAGAUUCAGGCUGAGAUGAAGGUGGCCUGAAACAAGGAGGUGGCCGUGGGGCCACUAGAGGAGUGGACCGAGAUAUUUAGGAUGUAGGGCAUGGAGAUUUGAGAGUGAUGGUGACUUCGGAGAGACAGCAGUGAGUAAUGGCUUGAAAUGGGAUUUUUUUUUUUUUUUUUUUUUUUUUUUUUUGUCUUUUUGCUAUUUCUUGGGCCGCUCCUGCGGCAUAUGGAGGUUCCCAGGCUAGGGGUCAAAUCGGAGCUGUAGCCACCGGCCUAUGCCAGAGCCACAGCAAUACAGGAUCCGAGCCGCGUCUGCGACCUACACCACAGCUCACAGCAACGCCGGAUUGUUAAGCCACUGAGCAAGGGCAGGGACCGAACCCGCAACCUCAUGGUUCCUAGUCAGAUUCGUUAACCACUGCGCCACGACGGGAGCUCCUUGAACUGAGAUCUUAAUUCUCUGCUCUGGAAUUGGACCUGGGCAGCCUGGGUGAAAACCAGGAGUCGUAGCCAGUAGACCAGCUGGAGGCUAAAAGCAGAAUUGCCCUGAUUCUUGCCCCCCUGUUGAAAGCAAGAAUGUUUCAAGGAGGCAAAGACUGUACAAGCAGGUAGAUAGUUUACUGUUAGAAACAGUGUAACAGUGGGAGAACCUACAGAGAACAGUCUGUUUAUCUAAGGCAGAAGCAAAGCGGAAUUGCACACCCGAAGGAGAAGCGAGGGUUCAGGACCCCCUGCUCCCCCCCCCCGCCGCCCCGGCAAUGGGGAGCACACCAGAGGAGAUUUAAAGCACUUCCAUAGGACAGUUCUUCUGCGUCUUUGUCUCCCUUUGGCCAGUUAUCUUGGUUUCUCUUUCCCACCCGACCAGACCCAGGGCCCUCCCUGUUCUGUGUGAGCGUCUUUUGGCCGAGAUGGAUUCCUAAGCAGAGCAUGGCGGGAAGGCUGUCCUGACCUCCGAUGGCCUGGCGCCCCCUCCCUUUCUGACCCAGAGGGGUCUCCCUGACCCUGGGGAUGGCGAGCACGUGCUCUCUUGGUCCUCUGCCCAAGCAGGGCUCAGCCCCUCUUGACUCUCUCAUCACCGCUGUUUAACGAGUUCACAGAAGACAGGUACCAGAUAUUUGCCUUGGGCCUGCUGUCAUUUCUGUCUUGAAGUAUAGACAGGUGGCUGGCUGUAAGUGUUUGUCCCGGAGCCCACCUGCCUCCUGCCUCAAUGGGACAUGGUUCUGUGGGAAAGGGACAGGCCAGGGGACCCCUCCACUUCCUUCUUAAGUAACAGGGAGGAGGGAGAUGCCAUUUGAGCUGGAAAAUGUAAACGGCAGAAUUUAGCAGUUGACUUUAAUACUUCAUCAGGAGUUCCCCGGCAGUGCAGUGGAUUAAGGACCCGGCGUUGUCACUGCCGUGGUGCAGGUUUGAUCCAUGACCCAGGAACUGCCACGUUCUGCGGGUACAGUUAAAAAAUAAAAAAUAAAAAUAAAAAAAAUUUACUUCGUGU